GAGUACAUAGCAAAGUCUGGCAAUGCACUGGUCUGCAAAAUCAGUAUUCGUUGGUUCAAAUCCAACUGUACUCU
rnacentral:tRNA from 3 species